rnacentral:rRNA from 1 species
UACGUAGGUGGCAAGCGUUAUCCGGAUUUACUGGGUGUAAAGGGCGUGUAGGCGGGACUGCAAGUCAGAUGUGAAACCCAUGGGCUCAACCCAUGGCCUGCAUUUGAAACUGUAGUUCUUGAGUGAUGGGGAGGCAGGCGGAAUUCCGUGUGUAGCGGUGAAAUGCGUAGAUAUACGGAGGAACACCAGUGGCGAAGGCGGCCUGCUGGACAUUAACUGACGCUGAGGCGCGAAAGCGUGGGGAGCAAACAGG